AUUCAACUGACGAAUCGUAAAUAAGACGAAACGCGCAUCCUGGAU
rnacentral:hammerhead_ribozyme from 1 species